rnacentral:rRNA from 1 species
UACGUAGGUGGCAAGCGUUGUCCGGAAUUAUUGGGCGUAAAGCGCGCGCAGGCGGUCCUUUAAGCCUGAUGUGAAAGCCCACGGCUCAACCGUGGAGGGUCAUUGGAAACUGGGGGACUUGAGUACAGAAGAGAAGAGUGGAAUUCCACGUGUAGCGGUGAAAUGCGUAGAGAUGUGGAGGAACACCAGUGGCGAAGGCGACUCUUUGGUCUGUAACUGACGCUGAGGCGCGAAAGCGUGGGGAGCAAACAGG